UGAGGCAGGAGAAUCGCUUGAACCCAGGGGGUGGAGGUUGCAGUGAGCCAAGAUUGCACCACUGCACUCCAGCCUGGGCGACAGAGCAAGACUCUGUCUU
rnacentral:miRNA from 10 species